CACACUGGGACUGAGACACGGCCCAGACUCCUACGGGAGGCAGCAGUGGGGAAUUUUGGACAAUGGGCGCAAGCCUGAUCCAGCCAUGCCGCGUGCGGGAAGAAGGCCUUCGGGUUGUAAACCGCUUUUGUCAGGGAAGAAAAGGUUCUGGUUAAUACCUGGGACUCAUGACGGUACCUGAAGAAUAAGCACCGGCUAACUACGUGCCAGCCGCCGCCGUAACAC
rnacentral:rRNA from 1 species